GGGAGCAAGCGUUGUUCGGAUUUACUGGGCGUAAAGGGCGCGUAGGCGGUCAGCACAAGUCAGUUGUGAAAUCUCCGAGCUUAACUCGGAAAGGUCAACUGAUACUGUGCGACUAGAGUGCGGAAGGGGCAACUGGAAUUCUUGGUGUAGCGGUGAAAUGCGUAGAUAUCAAGAGGAACACCUGCGGCGAAGGCGGGUUGCUGGGCCGACACUGACGCUGAAGCGCGAAAGCCAGGGGAGCGAACGGG
rnacentral:rRNA from 1 species